GGAUGUGAGAGCAAUCUGGCUGCUACAUCUGUCACCCCAUUGAUCACCAGUGUUGUUUCCUUUCAGCUGAUUUGGCUGCCUAGGGGGGUGUCCCCUUACUCCCUCACUGAUCCACUUGAGUCCCUCCCAAAGCUGUGCACUGGGUCAAAGGGGACGACCUUCCCUGAAUAGAGGAGGACAGUUUUCAUUCAAGGGUAUAAGAGUAGCUGUGCUCCCCUGCUAGAAACUCCAACAAACACUCAAGGUACAAAAGAUUUUUUAAAUUCAAUUUAUUGAUUUAUCUACACCCUGACAAGAGCUUUCCCCCUGU
ensembl:misc_RNA 7SK 7SK RNA